AGUGAACGCUGGCGGUAGGCCUAACACAUGCAAGUCGAACGGCAGCACAGUAAGAGCUUGCUCUUACGGGUGGCGAGUGGCGGACGGGUGAGGAAUACAUCGGAAUCUACUUUUUCGUGGGGGAUAACGUAGGGAAACUUACGCUAAUACCGCAUACGACCUACGGGUGAAAGCAGGGGAUCUUCGGACCUUGCGUGAUUGAAUGAGCCGAUGUCGGAUUAGCUAGUUGGCGGGGUAAAGGCCCACCAAGGCGACGAUCCGUAGCUGGUCUGAGAGGAUGAUCAGCCACACUGGAACUGAGACACGGUCCAGACUCCUACGGGAGGCAGCAGUGGGGAAUAUUGGACAAUGGGCGCAAGCCUGAUCCAGCCAUACCGCGUGGGUGAAGAAGGCCUUCGGGUUGUAAAGCCCUUUUGUCGGGAAAGAAAAGCAGCAGGUUAAUACCCCGCUGUUCUGACGGUACCCAAAGAAUAAGCACCGGCUAACUUCGUG
rnacentral:rRNA from 1 species